GUCGAACGCUGGCGGCGUGCCUAAUACAUGCAAGUCGAACGCAGAGGGGACGGGUGAGUAACACGUGGGUAACCUCCCAUCAGAGGGGAUAACACUUGGAAACAGGUCCUACACCCAUACUGAUGGAUGGACCCGCGGUUCAUUAGCUAGUUGGUGGGGUAACGGCUCACCAAGGGCACGAUGCAUAGCCGACCUGAUAGGGUGAGCGGCCACACUAGAACUGAGACAAGGCCCAGACUCCUAGGGGAGGCAGCAGUGGGGAAUCUUCGGCAAUGGACGAAAGUCUGACCGAGCAACGCCGCGUGAGUGAAGAAGGUUUUCGGAUCGUAAAACGCUGUUGUUAGAGAAGCGGUAUCUAACCAGAAAGCCACGGCUAACUACGUGCCAGCAGCCGCGGUAAUUC
rnacentral:rRNA from 1 species